AGCAGCAAGCGUUUGCGACUCGACUAUGGCGAGGUUGAGGACGGGCCUUGUAAUGCCGAGACGGUCAAGGGCUGGGACAAGCUCCUGACGCAGCCACCGGGAGGCGUCAUCAGCCCGGACAUCAUUCAGUCUGAGCAGAGUUAUCGCGAGGCCAGCCGAUUUACUCAAUGAGGACGGUCUCCCUGGAGUAGCGGAGCUGCUACUGUUCAUCCUGGGGCCUCCGCUGUCAACUCUGGCAAUUCCUAUUGAGCUUAGCUGCUGGCGGCAAAGUGUCUGCUCCUGCCAUGGCCUUCGACAUGCCCACAAACUUGUACAGCCGACAGCCUCCAUUGGCUCGGUCGGCGGAAGCGGCUUUCACCGCCAGCUACGUGACCUUGGUAGCAGCCUUGCCAGUGUCGGGGAGUGCGAUGGAACUAUGCGCACGCAGCAGUUUCUGCAGCUGUGCGUAGGACGAUGCGGAGCUGAAAUGGUUCCCCCUCUCAAUUCGAGUGACAGUGCUUGCCUUUAUUAUUUUUUAUUGCGAUAGCAAUUAUAUGAACACUCUGGGAUCAAUUUUGCCACCGG